UCCACCGCCUACGCAAGUCCUUGUAAAGGAAGGGCGAAUUUUCUCCAGUUUCUACUAUUUCAGUUGUGAAAAGCGAACGGCGGAGAAUCCGGUGACGCUAACGGUAAUUUUCUAAUUGCUUCCGCCGGUGAACUUAGCCAUGCCGGAUGAAGAUGGUCUCAACACUAGUUGUAGUGAUAGUCGUACCUUGCAAACCAACGGCGGUGCUACCCUGGCGACCGUUCAAGAAUCAGGGUUGGAUCUCUCUGGUGGCGCUGAAUUAGAAGUGGGAUUGAAGCCCAAAGGUCAAGUAACGGAGAGAGACCCUAGGAAAAAGGCUAGAAAGUAUCAGUUGGAGCUCUGCCAAAAGGCAGUGGAGGAGAACAUAAUUGUGUAUCUGGGUACAGGAUGUGGGAAGACCCACAUUGCUGUCCUGCUUAUAUCCGAGUUCGCUCAUUUGAUAAGGAAACCCCAGAAGCAAGUGUGCGUCUUCCUUGCUCCUACCGUCGCUCUGGUUCAGCAGCAAGCCAGGGUCAUAGAAGAUUCUAUUGAUAGUAAGGUUGGAGUCUUUUGUGGGAGCUCCAAGAAGAUGAAAAGCCAUAAUGAUUGGGAAGAAGAGAUUCAGGAAUAUGAGGUCCUUGUCAUGACCCCCCAGAUACUAUUGCACAAUUUAAGUCACAGCUUUAUUAGGAUGGAGUUAAUUGCACUAUUAAUAUUUGAUGAAUGCCAUCAUGCUCAAGUCAAAAGUGGUCAUCCGUAUGCACAGAUCAUGAAGCUCUUCUACAAAACUGAGGGUGGAAAACUUCCUCGUAUAUUUGGCAUGACUGCAUCUCCUGUUGUAGGGAAAGGUUCUUCUAAUCAAGGAAAUCUUCCAAAAAGCAUCAAUAGCCUUGAAACUUUACUUGAUGCUAAGGUGUAUACAGUUGAAGUUAUGGAAGAGCUGGAAAGUUUUGUAGCAUCCCCAAAAUUGACAAUAUGUCAAUAUGGUCCUGUUGCAAAUUGCACUUCCAGCUCCCUUAUGAUUUAUAUUCAUGCACUUGCUGAUGUAAAGCGUCAGUGCACAUUGGCACUCAGCAGAACGGCAGAAGAUCAUCAAAGACUACGUGGCACCAAAAAACUGCUAAGCAAAUUGGAUAAUAACGUGGUAUUUUGUUUGGAAAACCUUGGCCUUUGGGGAGCAUUGCGAGCAUGCCAUAUACUUGGUGAUCAUUCUGAGUGGGGUGCACUUGUUGAAGCAGAGGACCAUUUUAGUGGUGACGUUUGUGAUAGAUAUCUAGCUCAGGCUGCCAGGAUUCUUACUUCUGGUUUGUUGCGAGAUGGUGUUGCCUCUGAUCUAUCUUCUGUGGAGGUUCUAAAAGAGCCAUUUUUCUCAAAAAAGCUUCUGCGUUUGAUUGGAAUUCUUUCGGACUACAGGUUACUACCGAAUAUGAAAUGUAUAGUUUUUGUGAAAAGGAUUGUUACUGCUAGAUCGCUGUCAUACAUACUGCAAAAUCUUAAACUUCUGUCAUCUUGGAAGUCUGAUUUUCUUGUUGGAGUCCACUCUGGACUGAAAAGUAUGUCUCGGAAGGCCAUGAACACGAUUCUUGAGAAGUUCCGGAUUGGACAGUUGAAUUUAUUGGUUGCAACCAAAGUGGGCGAAGAAGGACUUGAUAUUCAGACAUGCUGCCUUGUGAUACGUUUUGAUCUUCCAGAAACUGUUGCUAGCUUUAUACAAUCAAGAGGUCGAGCACGAAUGAAUGAAUCACAAUAUGUAUUUUUGGUCGACAGUGGCAACCAGAAGGAGCUUGAGUUGAUUGAAAGUUUUAGGAAAGGUGAAGACAGAAUGAAUAUGGAGAUUGCUUUCAGAACUUCUUGUGAGACCUUUACUGAGAUUGAGGAAAAAACAUAUAAAGUUAACCUAUCUGGUGCUUGCAUCAGUUCUGGAUAUAGCGUUUCAUUGCUUCACCAUUACUGUUCAAAACUUCUGCAUGAUGAGUUUGUUGACCCCAGUCCAAAAUUCUCCUAUUUUGACGAUUUGGGUGGGACUAUCUGCCAUGUAACGUUACCCUCCAAUGCUCCUGUACGUCAAAUUGUCAGUGCGCCAGAAUCUUCGGCUGAAGCUGCUAAGAAGGAUGCUUGUUUGAAAGCCAUUGCGCAGUUGCAUAAACUGGGUGCGUUUAAUAAUUCUCUGUUGCCAGCGCAAGAUGAUAAAAGUGAAAAGUUGGUGGUCUCCACUGAUUUUGACAACAGUGAAGCUCAUGGAUGUUUACGAGGAGAUUUACAUGAGAUGCUAAUUCCCACGGCACUGAAAGAAUCAUGGACUAACUCUGAGGACCCUGUAGUCCUAAACUGUUAUUAUAUUGACAUUAAUCCUACUCCUAGAGAUAGGACCUAUAAGAAGUUUGCCCUUUUCAUCAAGGCAGCUCUUCCAAGAGAGGCUGAGAGAAUGGAAGUUGAUCUUCACUUAGCUCGUGGUAGAUCUGCGAUGACAAAGCUUGUUCCAUCAGGAUCGGUAGAAUUUAGUAAAGAUGAGAUUAUGGAGGCUGAGAAGUUUCAAGAAAUGUGUCUCAAAAUCAUCCUUGACCGAGAAUUACUACUUGAAUCUGUUCCGCUUGGAAAGGAUCGUUCGUGUAAAUCAAGCUCAUCAACCUUCUACCUUUUGCUCCCCGUCAUUUUUGAUGCUCAUGAAAGAACUGCGUAUGUUGAUUGGGAGGUUGUCAGAAGAUGCUUAUCAUCUCCCGUUUUUGGGACUCCAUGUGAUACUUUGGACACAGAAGUUAGCCACUUGCAACUUGCUGAUGGGUUCAGAAGUAUAAGUGACAUUGAGAGUAGUUUAAUAUAUGCUGAACACAAGAAAAAAUUUUACUUCAUUACUAAUAUUCGUCACGACAUGAAUGCGUACAGCCCACACAGAAGUUCGGGCGCUUCAAAUUAUAUGGAUCACUUCUACAAAACGUUUGGCAUUACUCUUAAAUCUCCAGAGCAGCCACUUCUUUGCGCAAAACCACUAUUUUCUUUGCGCAACUUGCUGCAUAAUCGGAAGCAAGAGGAGGAUUCAGAUGUUCUUGAACUAGGGGAGUUUUUUGUUAACCUCCCUCCCGAGCUAUGUCAAUUGAAGAUAAUAGGAUUCUCGAAGGAUAUUGGGAGUUCUCUAUCUUUAUUACCGUCAAUUAUGCAUCGUCUGAAGAACUUGCUCGUAGCUGUUGAACUGAAAGAGAUGCUCUGUGAUUCGUUCCCAGAGGGGGCUGAAGUUACUGCCCUUGGAGUUCUGGAAGCUCUUACAACAGAGAAAUGUCAAGAGCGCAAAUCUCUUGAAAGGCUGGAAGUUCUUGGUGAUGCUUUUCUCAAAUUUGCAGUUGGCCGCCACCUUUUUCUUAUGUAUGGUUUACAUGAUGAAGGAGAGCUCACGAGGAAACGUUCUAAUGUAGUCAAGAAUUCAAAUUUGUUCAAGCUAGCUACUAAAAACAACUUGCAGGUGUAUAUAUGUGAUCAGCCAUUUGAUCCGCCCCAAUUCUUUGCUCUGGGCCGCCCUUGUCCAAAUAUUUGUACAAAGGAAAAACAAGCAGCUAUUCAUGAUCAACUUGAAACUCCUGUAGCUGGUCAUUCCCAGUCCUGUGAAGUUCAAUGCAGUAAAAAUCACCACUGGCUGUACAGGAAAACAAUUGCUGAUGUGGUUGAAGCUCUUGUUGGAGCAUUCAUAGUGGACAGUGGCUUCAUGGCGGCAACUGCAUUUCUUAAAUGGCUUGGCAUCCAAGUGAGCUUUGAAGUAUCACAAGUUAGUAAUAUUUGCAUAGAAAGUGGGAGAUACCUAUCCCUUGCUUCUUCCAUUGACGUCACUGAACUUGAAAACGUGCUGGGGUAUCAUUUUAUCCACCAAGGUCUGCUUCUACAAGCAUUUGUUCAUCCAUCUUACAGUAAGCAUGGUGGAGGCUGCUAUCAGAGAUUGGAGUUCCUUGGAGAUGCUGUCUUGGAUUACUUAAUGACAUCAUAUCUAUUUUCAGUUUAUCCAAAUUUGAAGCCUGGUCAAUUGACUGAUUUGAGAUCGGUAUCUGUGAAUAACAAGGCCUUUGCCAGUGUUGCAGUUGAUCUGUGUUUCCAAAAAUUUCUUAUUAGUGAUUCGCCUGCCCUUAGUGAUGCCAUUAAAAAAUACGAGGAGUUUGCAAAAAGAACUGUUGCAUCAGAAAGGGCUGUGGUUGAUGGGCCAAAAUGUCCAAAGGUGCUUGGCGACUUGUUAGAAUCUUGUCUGGGUGCGAUUCUUCUUGAUUCUGGGUUUAAUUUGAAGUGUGUCUGGAAGAUUAUGCUGUCCUUUUUGGAUCCAAUUGUGAGCUUUUCAAGCUUGCAGCUUAAUCCUGUCAGAGAACUACGGGAACUUUGUCAAUCUCAUAAUUUGAGUUUGCAGUUUCCAACAUCAAAGAAAGGCAGAAAUUUUUUAGUUGAUGCACACGCUAAGGGGAAAGAUGUUGAUGUAGGUGCUUCUAUUACCAGAGUGAACAAAAAAGAUGCUAUUGCAAGUGCUUCACAGCACAUAUAUGCAGAGCUGAAGGACAAGGGCUACGUACCGAAGUUCAAAACUUUGGAGGAAGUUCUAAGGUCUAGCCAAAAAAUGGAACCAAAAUUGAUUGGAUAUGAUGAAACUCCUAUUGAUGUUAUUGCUCCUUCCGCCAUUGUAUUUGAAAGCUCUGAGCUUCAGGAACACUCUGGCGGCAACUGCAAACCCAAACUUUGUUCCUCCAAUAAAGGCAACAAGAUUUACUCAUACUACAUCAGUCCUGGCAAUAGGCAGCUUUCAUCUUCGGCAGACCGUGUUGAACAUUUCAAUAAGAUGGUUUUGGAUCCUAAUUGUGACGGUGAAUCACGGCCAACAGGUGGAUCUGUCUCACAAAAAGGCUCAGCAAGAUCUUGUUUAUAUGAAAUAUGUGCUGCUAACCACUGGAAACCCCCUUAUUUUGAGUGUUGCAAUGAGGAAGGCCUAAGUCACUUGAAAUCUUUCACCUACAAGGUUAUCAUGGAAAUAGAAGAAACCCCAGUUAUGAUUUUGGAGUGCUUUGGGGCACCACAUAUGAAAAAGAAGGCUGCGGCAGAACAUGCUGCAAAAGCUGCACUUUCGUACUUGGAGAGUGAAGGAUACUUACAUUCCAAGUGAUUGGCAUAAGAGACAAAAGGGUGAAGGAAUAUUUCAACACGACUAAGGCGGCAGCUCCUGGUCAUCAAAAAAAGAAACGGAAGCAUUACAUGUCCAUAAUUUUGAUGUUCAUAAUUGUCCAUAACCUUUAGGUGGCAUGAGGAGAAGUGUGGGGAUCAUUUAAAAUGGUUCCCACACUUCUCCUCAUGUCAUCUAGAUUAUAGACAAUUAUGGACACCAAAAUUAUGGACACAUCAUUUUGGAAAAAGAAAAGAAAAGAAAAGGCGACAGCUCCUAGAUGAAGUGUAAAUUGUAUCUGAAACUGUGCAUAUAGUAGUUGUAGAGGAUUGUUAUUAUGUUGAAUUGUCUUUACAAUCACUAUAGUGACAAUCUUCUGCAAUUGAUAUAUGCACGUUUAGGUACAAUUUACUCUUCAUAUUUGGGUUGUGCUUUCAGUUCUCUCAAUUCAAUGUAAAAGAUAAAAGAUAAAUGACACUACGGUUGUGCAUCAGAAAAAUUAUGAAUAAAUGAUGAUUGCCUUCAUGUUUAAGCUCUGAAUAGUAUUCAUGCU